rnacentral:rRNA from 1 species
GCCAACCCUCUAGCCUAUACGACCCCCCAAAUCACCCAUCAUCCCCAUAAAAACAUUUAUGAUUGUAAGUAUAGGAGAUAGAAAACAACAUUAGCGCAAUAGUAAAUAGUACCAUAAGGGAAACAUGAAAGAAUAAUUACUCUCUACAGCAAAAAAAAGCAAGGUUAAAUCCCUGUACCUUUUGCAUCAUGAUUUAGCUAGAACAUAUCAAGCAAUACGUUAUCUCAGCCUGAACCCCCGAACCCAGUCGAUCUACUUCAAAACAACCUUACAUAGGCCCACCCGUCUCUGUGGCAAAAGAGUGGGGAGAUUUUGAAGUAUGAGGUGAAAAGCCAACCGAGUCUGGUGAUAGCUGGUUGCUCAUUAAAAGAGUCUAAGCUCAACUUUAAUUAUGGUCAAUUCUACUAAUUAAAACCACAUCUAAUUAAAAGCUAUACAAUAAGGGUACAGCCUUAUUGUAAUUGGAUACAACCAAAAUUAGAGGACAAAUAUACUUCUCACACCAUGUUGGCCUUAAACCAGCCACCAUAAAAAAUCGCGUCAAAGCAUAACAACAAAUAAUUCCUUAUUUUAUCAUAACCCCCUAACAACCAACUGAGCUAAUCUAUUAAUUAGAAGAACUAAUGCUAGAACUAGUAAUAAGAAUUAUUCUCUUAGCACAACUAUUCAUCAAAAAUCGAUAAACUACUGACAGUUAAACAGACUAUCACAAAGUAUAAUAAACAAACACAAGUACCUUUACUUACAAACUGUAACAUCAACACAGACGUGCUAAAAAGAUAGAUUAAAACUCACAGAAGGAACUCGGCUAAUAUGCCCCAACUGUUUACCAAAAACAUAGCCUUUAGCCUAACAAGUAUUAAAGGUCUUGCCUGCCCAGUGACUAAUUAAACGGCCGCGGUAUCCUAACCGUGCAAAGGUAGCAUAAUCACUUGUCUCUUAAUUAGAGACUAGUAUGAACGGCUAAAUGAGGGCCUAACUGUCUCCCGUGAGUAAUCAAUGAAACUGAUCUUCCAAUACAAAAGCUGGAAUACACCCAUAAGACGAGAAGACCCUAUGGAGCUUUUAAACCUACUUGCUAAACAAAAACUAAUAGUCAUCUUGACUACUUAAACCACACAUAAUAGCAACAAGCUUCAGUUGGGGCAACUUUGGAAAAAAAAAGAACUUCCAAGCAACAGAACUACAAGUUCAACUUAGACCAACACGUCUACGUAAUAAUUUACUGACCCAGUCAUACUGAUCAACGAACUAAGUUACCCUAGGGAUAACAGCGCAAUCCUCUUUAAGAGUCCCUAUCGCCAAGAGGGUUUACGACCUCGAUGUUGGAUCAGGACACCCAAGUGGUGCAGCCGCUACUAAAGGUUCGUUUGUUCAACGAUUAACAGUCCUACGUGAUCUGAGUUCAGACCGGAGUAAUCCAGGUCGGUUUCUAUCUAUGAUAUUUCUUCCCCAGUACGAAAGGACCGAGAAGACAAGGCCCAUGCUACAGACAUACCCUGCAAUAGUUGAAAACAACUAAAAUAAACCAUAAAAUCCACACCCCAAAACUAGGGAUU